rnacentral:pre_miRNA from 1 species
GUUUCCCCUGGAGUCCCUCUGAACACUUCAUUGGGAUUUUGAAGAUGGCCCUUUAAUUAUAGUAUAUUAUUGAAACAAGCUAACGGUGUCUGCCUGCUUAAUUGCCUACUGAAGUGUUUGGGAGAACUCUGGGAGUCAC